CUUUCGAAGUGAUCUCAAUGGGACCACUCCACGUGAUUUCGACUUCGGGCGAACGCUCAACCACUAAGAGGAAGACAAAACCUUCCACAAUGUUCAUAAUUGUUGAUGCCACUUGUUUGUGGUGGUUACUUUAAAGAGUUACCGGCCGAACGCGCCCAGUCACCAAACCCAACAUUUACAAUGUCAGAAUUCUUUGGACAAUGGGAAAUGGACGAAAUUUGUGAGAAAUCAGAGAAUUUUCUCAACUUUUGUAAAGCUGUGGACAUGAAGCCAGACGAGAUCGAAUACUACAAAAAGAUGCAAGAGACGAUAGCUUACUCUGGGGAAGGAGACAGCUGGGUUUGUGAGAUUUCCAUGGGACGAAAACAAAAGCAGACACGAAUUUAAACUUGGAAUAAAGAACCCACCAGAAAAAGGAAUUGAUGGGUCAACUUUCUGUAUAGAACCAAAGUUGGAAGCGCCCGCCAGACUCGUGGAAGUGGCUACUACCAUGUUACUUGGGCAUGAUAAGGAGGUGGUCACUAGGACCGAGAGGACCCUGACCGCUCCCAAUAAAAUGAAAUCAAUAGUGACAGACGUAGCAUCUGGAGUCUCCAUGACGUUUUGUGCAACACGGAAGUGACGUUUUACGGAAUGUACAAGCAUACAAAUCGUGAAAUCGAGACGGCAUUACCAUGAAGAUGAUGUUAAGCCAUCAGUUAGAAACCAUUUAAGUGUUCAGUGUGUGUGAUUUCAAAGCAAGAUGUGUAAUAUACAGUAUAUGCACAACCCCUGGCAUGUAACUUUGAAACGUUGAUGAAUAAAUGUUUUUUUAAAAUGAAUAAAUCAAUAGUAAUUCUGUUUGAUUUUUAAUUAUAAGAAAUCACAUAUAGUUAACAUAUGUGUAUACUUCUUCUUUGGAAAACUAGAAAGGGCAUCAUCUACAUUUUGAGGAAAACUCAAGCUGGGAUGUUACUGUUUAGAAAUGGGAAAUAAACAACUGGAAAAUC